rnacentral:rRNA from 1 species
AAUGAACGCUGGCGGCGUGGAUUAGGCAUGCAAGUCGAACGCGAAAGUUCCCUUCGGGGAGCGAGUAGAGUGGCGAAAGGGUGAGUAAUGCUUGGAUGACCUGCCCUCGAGACGGGGACAACAGUUCGAAAGGACUGCUAAUACCCGAUAGUCCAGUUUAGAUGCGUCUAGAUCGGUAAAUGGUGCUUCCGCUCGAGGAGGGGUUCAAGUCCUAUCAGCUUGUUGGUGAGGUAACGGCUCACCAAGGCGAUGACGGGUAGCCGGACUGAGAGGUUGGCCGGCCACAUGGGAACUGAGACACUGUCCUGACUCCUACGGGAGGCUGCAGUCGAGAAUCUUCUGCAAUGGGCGAAAGCCUGACAGAGCGACGCCGCGUGGAGGAUGAAGGCCCUCGGGUCGUAAACUACCUGUCACAUGUUAUGAAACGCACAGGUCUACCUGUGCGCUGACAAAAGACAUGAGAGGAAGGUCACGGCUAA